rnacentral:rRNA from 1 species
UACGAAGGGGGCUAGCGUUGCUCGGAAUCACUGGGCGUAAAGCGCACGUAGGCGGCUUUUUAAGUCAGGGGUGAAAUCCUGGAGCUCAACUCCAGAACUGCCUUUGAUACUGAGAAGCUUGAGUCCGGGAGAGGUGAGUGGAACUGCGAGUGUAGAGGUGAAAUUCGUAGAUAUUCGCAAGAACACCAGUGGCGAAGGCGGUUCUCUGGGACGGUACUGACGCUGAGACGCGAAAGCGUGGGGAGCGAACAGG